rnacentral:rRNA from 1 species
GGCAGUACGGCCGCAACGUUAAAACUCAAAUGAAUUGACGGGGGCCGCACAAGCGGUGGAGCAUGUGGUUUAAUUCGAUGCAACGCGAAGAACCUUACCUGGCCUUGACAUCCACGGAAUUUGGCAGAGAUGCUUAGUGCCCUCGGGAACCGUGAGACAGGUGCUGCAUGGCUGUCGUCAGCUCGUGUUGUGAAAUGUUGGGUUAAGUCCCGCAACGAGCGCAACCCUUAUCCUUUGUUGCCAGCGAUACGGUCGGGAACUCAAAGGAGGCUGCCGGUGAUAAACCGGAGGAAGGUGGGGAUGACGUCAAGUCAUCAUGGCCCUUACGGCCAGGGCUACACACGUGCUACAAUGGCGCAUACAAAGAGAAGCGACCUCGCGAGAGCAAGCGGACCUCAUAAAGUGCGUCGUAGUCCGGAUCGGAGUCUGCAACUCGACUCCGUGAAGUCAGAAUCGCUAGUAAUCGUAGAUCAGAAUGCUACGGUGAAUACGUUCCCGGGCCUUGUACACACCGCCCGUCACACCAUGGGAGUGGGUUGCAAAAGAAGUAGGUAGCUUAACCUUCGGGAGGGCGCUUACCACUUUGUGAUUCAUGACUGGGGUGAAGUCGUAACAAGGUAACCAAGGGCGAAUUCUG